AGGGUGGCUGUAGGAAGACAUGAUACAGCAUGUGGCACUUGCUUAGUACACAGUUGGCGCUCAGAAACACUGUGAAGCCUGAACUACUACCAUAAAGGGAGAGCCUUGAUUUCCUGUGUAGAAGCUGAGAAUGAAGUUGGCAUUAAGAAAAGCAGCUGAAAGAUGGAGGGGAAAAUGUCUUCGGUGAAAGUGUUUGAAACCUGGAUCAAGCCUUACCUGAGGGGACACAGGUUC